rnacentral:rRNA from 1 species
UACGGAGGGUGCAAGCGUUAUCCGGAUUCACUGGGUUUAAAGGGUGCGUAGGUGGGCAGUUAAGUCAGUGGUGAAAUCUCCGGGCUUAACCCGGAAACUGCCAUUGAUACUAUCUGUCUUGAAUAUCGUGGAGGUAAGCGGAAUAUGUCAUGUAGCGGUGAAAUGCUUAGAUAUGACAUGGAACACCAAUUGCGAAGGCAGCUUACUACCCGAAUAUUGACACUGAGGCACGAAAGCGUGGGGAUCAAACAGG